rnacentral:rRNA from 1 species
UGAGUAACCUGCCCUUCACUCUGGGAUAACUCCGGGAAACCGGGGCUAAUACUGGAUAUGACUCGAACAGGCAUCUGUUUCGGGUGGAAAGAUUUUAUUGGUGGAGGAUGGACUCGCGGCCUAUCAGCUUGUUGGUGAGGUAAUGGCUCACCAAGGUGACGACGGGUAGCCGGCCUGAGAGGGCGAUCGGUCGCACGUGGGACUGAGACACGGCCCAGACUCCGUACGGGAGCAGCA